rnacentral:misc_RNA from 1 species
GAUGAAGAAUGUAGCGAAAUGCGAUACUUGGUGUGAAUUGCAGAAUCCCGUGAACCAUCGAGUCUUUGAACGCAAGUUGCGCCCGAAGCCAUUAGGCCGAGGGCACGCCUGCCUGGGUGUCACACGUCGUUGCCCCCCCAUCUACUCCUUCGGGAUUGCGGGGGGCGGAUGAUGGCCUCCCGUGCGCCUCGUCGCGCGGUUGGCAUAAAUGCCAAGUCCUCGGCGACGCACGCCACGACAAUCGGUGGUUGCGAAACCUCGGUUGCCCGUCGUGUGCGGUCGUCGCGCAUCGAGGGCUCGAAAAAAUUGCCGGGCUCCGGCUCGGCUUUCAACGCGACCCCAGGUCAGGCGGGGUUACCCGCUGAAUUUAAGCAUAUCAAUAAGCGGAGGA